UACGGAGGGUGCGAGCGUUGUCCGGAAUCACUGGGCGUAAAGGGCGCGUAGGCGGCCUGAUAAGUAGGGGGUGAAAUCCUGCGGCUUAACCGCAGGGCUGCCUUCUAAACUGUCAGGCUAGAGCACAGUAGAGGCAGGUGGAAUUCCCGGUGUAGCGGUGGAAUGCGUAGAGAUCGGGAAGAACAUCAGUGGCGAAGGCGGCCUGCUGGGCUGUUGCUGAGGUGCGAAAGCCAGGGGAGCGAACGGG
rnacentral:rRNA from 1 species